rnacentral:lncRNA from 1 species
CGGCCGCGGCGCUGAACGCGGUGGACCGGCGCUCGCUACAGCGCUCUGCUCGGCUCGGGAGGGAAGUAUUGGAGCGCGCCAAGAGAAGGGCUGUGGACUGGCAUUCUCCAGAGCGAUCCAGAGGCUGCGUGGGGGUCCUUUACGGCCAGGACCCCUACCAGGAACGAUGGUCGGUCCCGGGUCCCCAGAGCCUCCUAGGAGAGAGAGAAGAAAGGCGCCCAACCCUUAGUACUUCCUUCAGGACAAUGGCAGAAUUCAUGGACUAUACUUCAAGUCAGUGUGGGAGAAACUGCAGAGGAGAGACAUCUGUUGGUCCAGGAAGCAUCUAUCAAACAUCAGAGCAUUCUCAAGAGUCAUCUUGGCCUAUUGAGAACAUCUCUAAGGACCUCUACAUAGAAGUCUAUCCAGGGACCUAUUCUGUCACUGUGGGCUCAGGUGCCUUAAGCAAGAAGACGCAUGUGGUUGCAGUUGACUCGGGGCAAAGUGUGGACUUGGUGUUCCCCGUAUGAUGUUGACAUCACUGCCAUCAUUUCACUCUAAGAAGAAGAAUAAAACCACCCUAUAACUGUCUUAAUAA